AACGGUGUAGCUCAACUGGAAGAGCGCAAGGCUUCGGCCUUGAAGAUGCUUGUUCAAACCGGGCCACCGUUA
rfam:Phytophthora nicotianae strain race 0 contig587, whole genome shotgun sequence.